rnacentral:rRNA from 1 species
GACGAAUGCUGGCUGCGUGCUUAACACAUGCAAGUCGAACGGUGAAGGAGGGCUUGCCCUCCGGAUCAGUGGCGAACGGGUGAGUAACACGUGGGCAACCUGCCCCUCACUCUGGGAUAACGCCGGGAAACCGGCGCUAAUACCGGAUACGACCAGGCGCGACAUCUCGCCUGGUGGAAAGAAUUUCGGUGAGGGAUGGGCCCGCGGCCUAUCAGCUUGUUGGUGGGGUAACGGCCCACCAAGGCGACGACGGGUAGCCGGCCUGAGAGGGCGACCGGCAACACUGGGACUGGGACACGGUCCAGACUCCUACGGGAGGCAGCAGUGGGGAAUAUUGCGCAAUGGGCGAAAGCCUGACGCAGCGACGCAGCGUGAGGGACGAAGGCCUUCGGGUUGUAAACCUCUUUCAGCGGGGACGAAGCGAAAGUGACGGUACCCGCAGAAGAAGCACCGGCUAACUACGUGCCAGCCGCCGCCGUAACAC